GUUAUAGUUUGACGGCUUGUAUCCCUUUUUUAGUAGUGAAUAAAGCAGUGGUAUCUCUUUCAACCAAUAAUGGCUUAGAAUAAAGGUAAUAAAAUUAAGGAAUCUUUCAUUUCUUGUCAGCUUCUGAGUACAUUGGAGACUUUUUAAAAAUCCAGUAAUUUCAGAUGGUAGCUGUACUUGUGGUGAGCGUAGCACAAGGUAUAGACUUGUUAAAUCACUAUGUCGUACUCCUGAAACCAAUGUAACAUUGUGUGUGUGUUGACUGUACUUCAAUUUUCUAAAAAACCCACUGAUUUUCGUUGCUUUUAGCAGGUGGGACCGUCUUCUUGUGUGUAAUCUACUCUACUAACAGAAAUAAAUUUGGAGAGCAGGGAAAGCUUGGAGUCUGGGGCACAGUUACUCUUUGCCAUCUUUCAGGAAGUCCUGAGACUAUGGCUUGUGCGAAAGGGAGCCUCUUGACGGGGAGAGGUCAACGGCUUUCACAGCCCUGGCAGGAGGAGUAACAACAGUUAGCUGAAAGAGGGCCCUUGCAGAUCUGGGAAAAGAGAUACCAUCAACACCGGUUUCUGCAGAGCCCUGAGCACAGCACGUCAAGCAGGAGAGGAAGGCAAGUAGAGGGGGCUGCUGCAGGAAGUUUGCCCACCGUGAGCAGCUGGGAGAUUGUGUUUUUAUAGCUGGCAAACCUACAUCUUUGUGUAGAACAGGGAGCGUAAGAUUGAUACCAGUUAUUCAAACUGCAAACCAUGCUGGAGACAAAAGCAGGACCUCAGUUGUCCUGGAUUAAGACUUUACGAGGUGAACCCCCCUGAACUUUGCCCAUAACAAGGGGAAAGUCCUUGGGAUCUGACCCGCUUUGGAACUAACAGAAACUUCUUCUGGACACUCCCUUUUGACUCGAAUGCCUUUCCACUCCUUUGAACAAUUUAUUUUAUUUAUGGAUCAUAUGUAAUAACAAGAAUAAACAAAAAUUAUUUAUGAAACACCAGCGAUAUGUACAAUGUCAUGCUAGGCCUUGUAGGGGAUGCAAAGAAAAUUAUGAAAUGUACACUUUCAUAAGUCUUAAUGCUUUCCAAAAUGCUUUCAGAUCCUUGCAUGAUUUCACCCUUAUAACAUUACUCUGCUUAGCCUUUCCAGGAAGCUUUCUCCCAUUAACUUUACUUUGCUAUUUUUAUUCGAAUACCUAUAUGUAUCAGUUUUUGAAGUUGCAUGCAUUUGUACUUGUCUUUUUAAAAAAUGUUUAUUUAAGAAAAAAGUAUUUUUAACUUUUUUUUUUUUAAUUUUUUGAGAGACAGAGAGAGACAGAGCAUGA